rnacentral:rRNA from 1 species
GAAGGGUGCAAGCGUUACUCGGAAUUACUGGGCGUAAAGCGUGCGUAGGUGGUCGUUUAAGUCCGUUGUGAAAGCCCUGGGCUCAACCUGGGAACUGCAGUGGAUACUGGGCGACUAGAGUGUGGUAGAGGGUAGCGGAAUUCCUGGUGUAGCAGUGAAAUGCGUAGAGAUCAGGAGGAACAUCCAUGGCGAAGGCAGCUACCUGGACCAACACUGACACUGAGGCACGAAAACGUGGGGAGCAAACAGGAUUAGAUACCCUGGUAGUCCACGCCCUAAACGAUGCGAACUGGAUGUUGGGUGCAACUUGGCACGCAGUAUCGAAGCUAACGCGUUAAGUUCGCCGCCUGGGGAGU